CCGGUCAGCUCUCUCAGACCUGACGAGCGAAGCGGUCAGACCGGAGCUAAUAUCUGCGUGGGUUUUCAACAAUAGUGACAACUGAGGAACACCGAGGGGCUGACACAGCGUGGUGGCUUUAUUUCUGCUGGACAGGUCACCUGCAGUCUUCCAACACCCUGUGCUUCUCACCAGUACACUGAUCGGACCAUGCUGGCUGGCCUGGAUUACAACCACCGUGUCCACAGACCAGCCAGGUGGAUGACACAGAUGACACAGUUCAGUACAGUAAGGUGUACAACAAAAAGUCCAGGAAGUGGA